UACGGAGGGUGCGAGCGUUGUCCGGAAUCAUUGGGCGUAAAGGGCGCGUAGGUGGCGGGACAAGCGUGCGGUGAAAGCCUGGGGCUCAACCCCGGGUCGGCCGUGCGAACUGUUUUGCUUGAGCACUGUAGAGGCAGGCGGAAUUCCGGGUGUAGCGGUGGAAUGCGUAGAGAUCCGGAAGAACACCGGUGGCGAAGGCGGCCUGCUGGCAGUAGCUGACACUGAGGCGCGACAGCGUGGGGAGCAACAGG
rnacentral:rRNA from 1 species